AUGCGAAAAAGAAACUGGCCGGGAAAUCCAACUUGCUCCUUUUGCCGAGAUGUGGAAACCACUGAUCAUCUUUUCUUUGGGUGUGUAUUUGCUCGCUCGGUUUGGGGGGCUUUUGGUACAUCCUGCUGUCCCAAAUAUCUUUGGCAUAGUUGGGCUUGGCUGUACAAGUAUCUCCCAGGGGCAAAAGGCAUUAUAUGUCCAUUAUUGCUGAUAUAUGUUGGGGGAUCUGGUGCACUCGUAACAAAGCGACCUUUGAGAAUCGUACCAUUCGUUCUCCGUUGGAGGCUAUUUUCACUGCUUGUUCCUUUUUGA
rnacentral:rRNA from 1 species